rnacentral:lncRNA from 1 species
GAGGGAGUAUAUUGUGACCAAAUGCAUGCUGCUAGUCAAUGGAAUAUUACAAAAUGAGGGAAGGAGGGAGUUAGUUCGAUAUAUCUAAAUAAAGUGAAUAAAGUCUGUCGAUGUUGAAAUUUUUGUAUGAAACACAAUUAUUCGAAAUGCUCAAAAUUUGCAUCCGUAAUUGCUAUAUGGGUAUUCAUUGUCAAACUUCAUAUACCUUUUGAGUUCUUUUAGGGUGCCUCUACCUGUGGUAAGCAUACAGUAUAGUACAGUAUCCAUGUCUUAUAUACUUUUUUUACACAACGAAGUAUGUCCUUUUUAGGGGUUGUAAUAAUUGUUUGGCCUUUAUAAAUGAUUAGUUGAAUGUAUGUUUAUACGUGCCAUUCACUGGUAGAAAAUUCGCCUUCAGUCCCGGUUGGUAGGGAGCAAAUCGCCCGAAAAUCCAUCCGGGAUAAACCAAUCGAGACAAAAAGAGGAGGUCUUUUAUCCCGGGUCACUCAACCGGGACUAAAGACCCCCCUCUUAUAUUACCAACCGGGAUAAAAAGGGUCGCCACGCUAGGCGCAGCCCCCCCUCCCCAAAAAAAAAAAGAAAUCCCGGGGAUCCCCGAGAGGCCCACCAAGUCACAAGUCAUGUGAUUUUUCACGCGAAAUAUGCGCGUGCGCGGUGCGUGGGAUUCGAACCCACGAUCUCAAGCCUCGCACGUAGCUUCCUUGCUAUCCCAC